GGAUAUGAGGGUGAUCUGGCUGCGACAUCUGUCAUCCAUUGAUUCAGCUGAUCUGGUUGGCUAGGCGAGUGUUCUCUUCCUCCCUCAUUGCUCCAUGUGAGUCCCUGCCGAUGGCCUUUCCCAAAUAGAGAAGGGCGGGCGAGUCUUCAGUUGAGGGUAUAGGAAUAGCUGCGCUCCCCUGCUAGGACCUCCAAGCAAGCUCUCAAGAGUCAUCUUCAACCUUAAGGUCAGCUAGACUUUUUAUGUUCUCCUUGUAGAUCACCAUUUUACA
rnacentral:snRNA from 1 species